UGUGUUUGUGUGUGUGUGUGUGUGUGUGUGUGUGUGUGUGUGUGUGUGUGUACAUGCAUGCUUGUGUGCCGUUUUUUCGUCACAGGACAAUCAGUGGGAGUUAGCUGUUUCUUGGGACUGUAUGUGUCCCAAGACUGAGCUCAUACAUCUUCCGGUACCUUCGCUGGCCUGUAGAUCUUACCUUUCAUGAGGUAAAUGACGUUGUGACACGCUUCAGUCAUAAAACUAUAAGCAGUGCUUAGUGACGUCCACAGACAUGAUGCAUCAGUGUGUGGGAUCACAGUAGUGUACUCUGUGCACUGCUCCUGGGCAGGGGGCUUUGGAAGGAAAUCAACUCUGCUUAAUUUGGCUGCAUUUGAGUCCCACAUCUUCUCUGUAACCUGCAUGUUGAUCAUCUAGCUGAGGCGCCAGGGGGAGUUCACUCUUCUGGGCUUGUUGGGCUUUCCUGCCCGCAUUCUUCCUUCUCUUAGUUACCAUUUCCUCUCGCUGAAAGCAAGGAAAUUCUCAUUACGACCUUCGCAGGACUGUCAGAAAGAUAACAUUCUGUUUAACUUCCUGCCUCCAUUUAUCAGUAGCGUUGGCUACAUUCUUCGGUUGAAUUUAAUACCAAUAGUUAUAGCGUAUUUCUGCAUGAAUUACUACUAUUCUCAAAUUCUGUCUCUUUUCUUAUGUGUAAUUAAGAAAUUGCUGUAAUAGGAGAAUUUCCUCCGUAACUAAGUGCUGCCUAAUGCUUGGGAAUGAGAAUGGAAUCUAAGAUGUACGUAAAUAUGAGAGAAAUCAGCCAAUGAACUGGUCCCCAGGGCUCAGCCAAUGUGGUAUUGGUAUAAAUCUAGACUGACUGCUUGAAAGCCGAACUCAUUACUUUAAGAUCCGAGUUCUCCACUUUUGGUGUAUUCUUCUGGUGGUGUUCACGUGAAAAGGGCAAUGCACUUGACUCGGGAGAUAAGAAUUUCUAAUGAGAGCUGAAAGGAGGGAAGGGAAAAAGGGGUUGGAAAAAACAAACAAAAAACAAAACCCAAAACAGAACAUAAUGAAUGGAAGAAGUGCUGCUGUCCACGUGUGUGCAUGCGCACACCUGUGGAUGCACCCCCGUGUGGAUGCACAACCACGUGUGUGGACAGAUUGAAGUAAUCUGGAUAGAGACGGUUAGUCCUGAUGGAGCAGCCUCUGUGACUAGCCUGCAUCUCUCCCUUUUUCUACUCACAUACAGGAAAGGUUGAAAAAUGGACAUUUUUCUCUACAGUAUUAAAAUUCAUUUUUUCCCCAUCCUCCAACCUCCCCGGCCAGAAGAAUCUGGUUUAAUAGGAAAUUUCAGAUGAGAGAAGCAUUCAACCUUAUUUCCUACUCCACCCCAGCUCUGAGUAUUGCCUUUGAUCUGAUCUCCUGUAUGGACUUGAUUGUUACUGCACGCAGGCCUCCUUUCCUGAAACCUCCAUUUUCCUUGAGCUCUCUGCAUUAUUUAACAGUACCGAGGGCUCUGGCUUUCUUUCUGUCAAGCCUGGCGCUCUCUUCUCCCGGUACACAUUCCGAAGCCUUCCAGUGUCACCUGGAACAAACUUGACAGCAGUGUUGUCUUGCCGCCACUGUAACUGGAGUGGGGUAUGCCGUGCCCGAUUGCGGUGAUUUGUAAGGCAGGAUAAGAGGCUGGUUCUGGGCCGAAGUGUGAAUGCAGGGACCAAGUGCCAAUUUUACUCCCUGGGAGUCUUCACUUAACUUGCACCAUUUAAGGGAGGGAAAGAGGAGUAACCAUUUCUAGAGAAAUCUAGACGAUUCCAAACCUCAGCAAAGGAAAAGAAGAAAUAAAAAGCAUGUCUUUGGACACUGGUCCCUUGGUACUCAGUAAUGCCUGAUAUUGGUUGCCAAGUAACUCUAAGUUCCUGUCUAGCUGGGAAUGGAUUUUCCACAGGACUCUUGGGAACUUAUGAAGGUGCAACCUUGUCUACAUCUCGAAGUUUCUGUGAGGUCUCCCUGCGCACCCUUUAGACCCUCAAUUCUCAUCAGUAGAGCAUCAUAAGAUUUUUGUGCAUGCUCCAAUGAGCUCCCUACUUAAAUUCAUAACUUUCCUAAAAGACAGCAAGAAACAUAGUCUUAUAGAUUGUGUUUCUCAGCAUCCGAUGCACGAUAUAUCUUCCACAAAAACCUAUUGAUUUGGGGCUGGGAAGAUGUCUUAAUCAGUAAAGUGCUUGCCACAAAGCACAAGCUGAGUUCAGCCUCCAGCACCCACACUAAAAUGGUCGGGUAUGGUAGUGUGCAUUAUAAUCCUAGUGUCCAGCACCCACACUGAAGUGGUCAGGUAUAGCAGUGUGCACUGUAAUCUUAGUGCAGGCCAGCUAAUCUAGCCAAACUGGUAAACUCCAGGUUCAGUGAGAGACCCUGUCUC
rnacentral:lncRNA from 1 species